AACGGUAAGGGCCGGGCACUCGUGGAUGGACUGCCGGCGACAAGCCGGAGGAAGGUGGGGAUGACGUCAAGUCAUCAUGGCCCUUAUGUCCAGGGCGACACACGUGCUACAAUGGCCGGCACAGCGGGAAGCGAGGGGCGACCUUGAGCGGAUCCCUCAAAGCCGGUCUCAGUUCGGAUUGCAGUCUGCAACUCGACUGCAUGAAGUUGGAAUCGCUAGUAAUCGUGGAUCAGCCAAGCCGCGGUGAAUACGUUCCCGGGCCUU
rnacentral:rRNA from 1 species